CUGCUUUUAUAUAAGAGGAACAGUAUUUAUGUAUAGAUAUUUGCCAGUAUUAUAUGAAUAAGGAUCUGCUAACUCCGUGCCAGCAGCCGCGGUAAUACGGAGGAUCCGAGCGUUAUCCGGAUUUAUUGGGUUUAAAGGGUGAGUAGGCGGUAGUAUAAGUCAGCGGUGAAAACUUGCAGCUCAACUGUAAGCUUGCCGUUGAAACUGUAUUACUUGAGUUAAGUUGAGGUAUGCGGAAUGUGGUGUGUAGCGGUGAAAUGCAUAGAUAUACCACAGAACGUCGAUUGCGAAGGCAGCAUACUAAGUUUAUACUGACGCUGAUGCACGAAAGCGUGGGGAUCAAACAGGAUUAGAUACCCUGGUAGUCCACGCCGUAAACUAUGAUUACUCGUUGUUUGCGAUAUACUGUAAGCGACUGCGCGAAAGCAUUAAGUAAUCCACCUGGGGAGUACGUUGGCAACAAUGAAACUCAAAGGAAUUGACGGGGGCCCGCACAAGCGGAGGAACAUGUGGUUUAAUUCGAUGAUACGCGAGGAACCUUACCUGGGCUUAAAUGGGAAGUGACAGUUUUGGAAACAAAAUUUUCUUCGGACACUUUUCAAGGUGCUGCAUGGUUGUCGUCAGCUCGUGCCGUGAGGUGUCGGGUUAAGUCCCAUAACGAGCGCAACCCUUGUCGAUAGUUGCCAGCAUGUAAUGAUGGGGACUCUAUCGAGACUGCCGGUGUAAACCGUGAGGAAGGUGGGGAUGACGUCAAAUCAGCACGGCCCUUACGUCCAGGGCUACACACGUGUUACAAUGGUCGGUACAAUGGGCAGCUACUCAGCGAUGAGAUGCUAAUCUUCAAAACCGAUCUCAGUUCGGAUCGGAGUCUGCAACUCGACUCCGUGAAGCUGGAUUCGCUAGUAAUCGCAUAUCAGCCAUGAUGCGGUGAAUACGUUCCCGGGCCUCGUAAAAGGCGCCCGUCAAG
rnacentral:rRNA from 1 species